rnacentral:rRNA from 1 species
CGCGUAGGUGGUUAGGUAAGCGAGAUGUGAAAGCCCCGGGCUUAACCUGGGAACGGCAUUUCGAACUGUCUGACUAGAGUAUGGUAGAGGGUAGUGGAAUUUCCUGUGUAGCGGUGAAAUGCGUAGAUAUAGGAAGGAACACCGGUGGCGAAGGCGGCUACCUGGACCAAUACUGACACUGAGGUGCGAAAGCGUGGGGGGCAAACA